rnacentral:tRNA from 2 species
UAUGCUUUAGUAUAAAUGUACGGGAAUUUUUGAAGUUUCUAGUAUCAGAUUAUUCUGAUAAGUAUAU